UCCCUUGUGGCUCAGAUGGUAAAGAGUCUGCCUGCAAUGCAGGAGACCUAGGUUCAACCCCUGGGUUGGGAA
rnacentral:tRNA from 1 species